rnacentral:rRNA from 1 species
GGCCCUCCGUCAUAUGCCUUUAUGUAUAUUAAUAUUCACGGGAGGUCACACCUGCACAAUGGCCUACGGGUUCAAUUGCCGCGGCCAACCUGACCGUGCAAAGGUAGCGUAAUCAAUAGCCUAUUAAUUGUUGGCCUGUAUGAAUGGUACGACGCUGGUGGCGCUGUCUCAGUUGCAUUUAUUUGAACUUAACUUCUGGGUGAAAAGGCCCAGAUAAAUCUGAAAGACGAUUAGACCCUGUCGAACUUUAGGUAAGCCAGCUGUCAGGACGCCCAACAAGGGUAGUACUUGCCCUGCUAUUUAACCUUUGGUUGGGGUAACCGGGGACCAAGAAAAACGCCCCCCCUCCUUUGUAAGUUAACACCCACAUGUUAGAGGUAAUAAAGACUUUACCUCCAGGGCAAUUGGCCUUCAGGAAAGUAACUAAUUCAUUUGUAAAAAGGUCUGACAAGACAUAUCCUACUUAUAGAAUGAACCUAAAGAACUGCUUGGCAGUUAUCUGUUAAUAGGGAAGAGUUACCGCAGGGAUAACAGCGUAAUCCUCCCGGCGAGACCACAUUAAGGGGAGGGUUUGCGACCUCGAUGUUGGCUUAGGGCUUCCUAGAAGUGCAGGGGCUUCUAAGGGUUGGUCUGUUCGACCAUUAAAGCCUUACGUGGAUCUGAGUUCA